rnacentral:rRNA from 1 species
UACGAAGGGGGCUAGCGUUGUUCGGAAUCACUGGGCGUAAAGGGCUCGUAGGCGGUUUGUCGCGUCGGGAGUGAAAACCAGGUGCUUAACACCUGGCUUGCUUUCGAUACGGGCAGACUAGAGGUAUUCAGGGGAGAACGGAAUUCCUGGUGUAGCGGUGAAAUGACGCAGAUAUCAGGAGGAACACCGGUGGCGAAGGCGGGUCUCUGGGCCGAUACUGACGCUGAGGAGCGAAAGCGUGGGGAGCGAACAGG